UAUAUCCUGAAAAUGGAUUUUCAUCAAUGUCUAAAAGUGCACAUAUUUCUUCGUCCCAGUUCAAUAAAGCGCUUUACAGUCAAAACACUCUGAAGUCCCUUACGUAGAAGCGAUAAUAUUAAAGCAAAAAUGCUUUAACCUCAAUGGAAUCGAACCCCCACCCCCCAUGAAACCCGCCAAUUCAUGGAUAAAAUGACGGGAAGGAACAUAUCCCUGAGAAAAACUUUCUACUCUGCCGUUUUAUCUAUCAAGGUCAAUUGCCCUUUUUUUGCUGAGAGACAUUGCAACCCCUCCAAACCCCUCUUCUUUCUCGCCCCUUCCUAUGAACGAACCGCAAUUCUGAGUGUUGUGCUGCAGAAAAUAGCAAAUUCCUCAUAAUCGUUCGAGAACGGGAUUAAUAGGGGCGUCAAUGAGAAUAGCUGGAUCCACAAUUUCGUUCGUGAACUAACGACAUUUACUGAAAAUUGUGACUUGGUUCAUUGCGUUCACUUCGAACGGUAAUCUUUCGUUCGGUAACCAACCAUCUCUUGUAGUUAUUGUUGCGGAGAAAGAAGUAUGGUGAAUAUAUUUCGGCUUUGUAUGAGAUAAAGUUUUCUAGUCUUUUUUGUAUUAAUUUUAAUAUAUUACUAUAAAGAUGUCUAAUGCGUUAGCGAUUGUAAAAGUAAAUACACUAAAAAUAGGUUCAAUGUUUCUGUAUUUUCAUUUCCAAGUGACGAAAUCACUAGAACAUGGAUCUCUGCAAUAAAGCGGGAAAAUUUCGUACUAACCAAACAUAGUAAGGUUUGUGCUAAAUCUUUUUUCAAGAAAUGAAUUUUUAACUGUGAGAAAAGCCUUUAAUGUUAGUGCAGGAGAACUUAUUAAAGUACCACUGGAUUGUAAAAGGCUUGUACCUGGUGCUGCACCUACAGUUUUUCUGAAUUUACCCUCAUAUUAUUUCUGAGAAUCCUCAACUUCAAAUUGAGACUUAACACUUAAAGAAAUGGAAAACUUAAAAGCAUCUAUAAAUAGUGCUCUUGAAUAUAAAUAAAUCUCUUUGAAUAUAAAUAAAAAAAAAAUCAGUAUUUGUUGAAGUUAUCUAUUCCUAGUAAAUCUUUUGGCACCAUUAAAAUCACGAACUCUGAAACAGAUGAUUAACUCUCAGGAUUAUGAUCUGAGCUCUUUAACUGCUUUCUCUUCCACUUUGAAGUGAAACCAGUAGACAUUUCAAAUUUAGAAGAAAGCCUUCCUGUUUUAAUGUAUCUUGCAGGAUACUGCAUUUUUUUCUGUUUUAAUAAAAACUAAGGGCAGUCACUGUCUGUAGAUUUAGAUAGAGUGACUCUUUUUUACAGAAACAUUUUAAUUGCAGUACUAUUCAAUUUUGCAGUUUUUAAAAAAUAUGUGGUGAAUAUAUGUCUGGAUAAUUCUUAAAGAUUUGUGAACAAAAAAAAAAAAAAUAGUUGCUUGCAUUAUGUAUGCUGUUCUAGAAGAAAAUUAAUUCUGUAGUGGAGCAUGUGAUGAAGUCAUUGGUUAAAUUCUACCUGGAAAGUUGUUUUGCUACACAAAUAUAUUUUUGAAUUAUUAUGUUAAGGAAGAAAAUGAUGAUUUAUCAAAAGCUUUAGUUCAGAAAAAAAAAUAUCUCCAAAAAGAACUAAGAAAAAAAGAAAGGGGAAAAUGUUUUUAAAUUACCACCUUGAAAAAGAGCACUGGUGAUAAAAAUAUUUCAUGUUCUAUUUUCAUGCAUAACAAUAUCAGUUUAAAUUGUUA